rnacentral:rRNA from 1 species
UACGUAGGGUGCGAGCGUUAAUCGGAAUUACUGGGCGUAAAGCGUGCGCAGGCGGUUCUGAAAGUCGGGUGUGAAAUCCCAUGGCUCAACUAUGGAAGUGCACUCGAAACUGCAGGGCUAGAGUCCUGGAGAGGAAGGUGGAAUGCUUGGUGUAGAGGUGAAAUUCGUAGAUAUCAAGCGGAACACCGGUGGCGAAGGCGGCCUUCUGGACAGUGACUGACGCUGAGACGCGAAAGCGUGGGGAGCAAACAGG